CGAGUCGGAAAGGUAAUCGCUGGAGGUUUCGGCCUCUGGAGGAAAGUCCGGGCUUCGUAGGGCAGGAUGCUGGUUAACGGCCAGAGGGGGCGACCCCAUGGAAAGUGCCACAGAAAAUAUACCGCCGAUGGCUCCUAGGAGCACAGGUAAGGUUGAAAUGGUGGGGGAGCUCGUCUCCUUAAUGUAAGAGCCCACCGCGGGGACGGCGACGUCGCCGGCAGGGUAAACCCCAUUCGAAGCAAGUCCAAAUAGGGCAGCAUAUGGAAGCGGCCCGUUUCCGCUGCCGGGUAGGACGCUAGAGGGGUCGGGCAACCGGCCUCCCAGAUAAAUGAUUACCACCCUUAAACAGGGGACAGAACCCGGCUUAUUGACGGCUCGGCUC
rnacentral:RNase_P_RNA from 1 species